AAUUUAUGUUCUUGUAAACGCAUUUUGUGAGAAACGAUUAUUUUUUUCUACAACAGCUUAACACUAAACAUGGAGGAUAAGGUUACUAAGAAUGUUUCCUGGGAAGAUCAGAAAAGUAUUUUACAGAUAUUUGCUGAAUGCUGUUGGAAAAUUCUACAGGUAGAACCACAAGAAAUUAGACCCUCACCACCAUCUCUGCGACAAAGAUGACAACAGGAACAUCAUCAUUGUCGUCGCCAAAAAGAGCAAUAAUAACGGUUUCUUAAAGAAACAAUACAAAAUUUAGCUGAGAUCUUGUUCCUGUCCAUCACUGCAACCUAUAAGUUUAAACACCGGUCAUUUUAAUGAAUUCGCCUUUUGUGGCCUCGUAAUGUUUGAGGCGGACAAACCCGAUGAUCUGAGGCCAUCAUGCGGGUUCGAUUUCCAAUUAAAGGCAAUUUAUUUUGUUCGAAUCAUGAAUGCCGUAUGAAGGAUGAAUAAUAUCUCGACCUUAUAUAUAGAACAGAAAAUAAAAUAUGAAGGUGUUUUGAAUCCUGUUCAGUGCCCAUUGGAAAAGCAUAAACACUACAACCCCUCUGAUAUUAUUUGAAGAUCGUUAGACACCUGAUAGUAUUUCGUUUAGGCUCUAAGUGUUUUCUGUUUAAAUGUCACUGAAAUGAACGAUGUCUUCCUUCUGGGAUUGAUAAAAUAUUUACCAAAUACUGCGAUCAAUUUAAUUGAGGUCUAAAGAUGUUUUCUCGACAGUUACGAUUCAAAGUUCAGAUAGUUUGAUGCCUUAUUCUUUGAAAUGGUACUAAACUAUGCUGAAUUCAGAAAUUAUUUUUCAUGUCUUCAUUUGCGUUAUUUUUCCCGUUUCUUACGUUCAGAGUUCAAAUUUCUCUGAGGUCAACUUGUCGUUCUUCUGGAGUCAAUAAAUAAAAUACUUAUCUAGAGCA